rnacentral:rRNA from 1 species
UGAGGAAUAUUGGUCAAUGGACGAGAGUCUGAACCAGCCAAGUCGCGUGAAGGAUGAAGGUCUUAUGGAUUGUAAACUUCUUUUAUACGGGAAUAAAACAAGCCACGUGUGGCUAAUUGCAUGUACCGUAUGAAUAAGGAUCGGCUAACUCCGUG